CCUACGGGAGGCAGCAGUGAGGAAUAUUGGUCAAUGGACGAGAGUCUGAACCAGCCAAGUAGCGUGAAGGAUGACUGCCCUAUGGGUUGUAAACUUCUUUUAUAUGGGAAUAAAACAGGGUAUGCAUACCCUCUUGUAUGUACCAUAUGAAUAAGGAUCGGCUAACUCCGUGCCAGCAGCCGCGGUAAUACGGAGGAUGCGAGCGUUAUCCGGAUUUAUUGGGUUUAAAGGGUGCGCAGGCGGCCUGUUAAGUCAGCGGUAAAAGCCCGGGGCUCAACCCCGGCGAGCCGUUGAAACUGGCGGGCUGGAGUUGGAGAGAAGUACGCGGAAUGCGCGGUGUAGCGGUGAAAUGCUUAGAUAUCGCGCAGAACCCCGAUUGCGAAGGCAGCGUACCGGCUCCACACUGACGCUGAGGCACGAAAGCGUGGGUAUCGAACAGGAUUAGAUACCCUAGUAGUC
rnacentral:rRNA from 1 species